AAAAAGGUAAGCUAAAAAAAAGCUAUUAGGUUCAUACCCUAUUUAUAAAGGUCUAAUCCUUUUCUUUUUA
rnacentral:tRNA from 1 species